UCGUCGUGUUGAUUUGCCUCUUUUGUUCACGAUCAUAGAUCUUUUCGAGGCCAUUUGAGUUUGACGCUUCCUUCCGGUGCUCGAGCUUGGGGAUCCAAACUUCUCGUUAUUUUGAGAAAGUCGAUUUCUCCUCAGUUUGUGUCGAGUUUCCUUUUAGUGAUUGAGGGUUUAUUGAUAGGAGUAUCCUUCCUCGUUAAGACGAGGUCUCUUGUAUCUUUAAUGUAGUUUAUUUUUCACUUAUCGCUGGUGUAGUUCGUCGCUUUCCCUUUACAUCUCCC
rnacentral:lncRNA from 1 species